AGUUUCUAGCCAGUGAAUUAUGAGCAGUAUUAGCAUCCACGGCUGAGGUGCAACAGCUUUCUGGAUAUGGAUGAUAUGAGGAUAGAAGUGAAAUGAGGAUUGAGAGGGAUCGUCUCUCUCCAUCUCACUCAUCCGCCUACAACUGUUGUCGCAGUGUCGCUCUCUCCCACUGCAGAUGCCACGCUGGCUUGCUUCCCGCUGGCACGGAAGGGCCAGAUUGGUACCGGGAUCAGCUCCAAGAUGUCCAAGAUCCGCUUCAGAUUCAGGAAAGUCAAGCAGGACAGACAUGAGCAGUGACAGAAUUAUUGUGCAUAUUGCAGAACUAUAAUGCGCUUUGAGGGAAAAAUGAUUUUGUGGCAAGUCUUUGCGCAUAUGAUUUUGUGUGUGGGUGUGUAUGUGUGUAAGACUGCUCUGUUAGGCAAGGGUUUGCAGUGUGGGUUUAGGAUGUAUCUGUAUCUGUUUAGUACUCAAAAAUAUUCAUAUCUGUAUCUGUAUUCUGACUUGAACCCUUUAAACCAGAAGUGCUGUUUGUUUGUUUGUUUUAAUAUGAACCCUACCUCUAAAAUAUAAACAAUCUAGUAGCCUAGUUAAACCACUGCAACUCUGGCCAAGCAGCUACUAUGUGCAUCGUGCUGUUCCAUGUGUUUAUGUUAAUGAACAUGGUCUUUCUUUGUCCUAUGAUCUUCAAAUUUAACCACUCGCACCUGCAUGAAAGUAAAAACUUCACACCCACAUGGCUUUUUUAUUGUUUCCCAAUACACACCUCCAGUCUCAACCACAUGCCAGUGGAAAGCUUUCUAAAAAAAAAUUCCUACACACUUCUUUUUAAUCUGCUAAUGCAAGGUGGUCUGUCUGAUUUGGAUUGGGAGAUAUAUUUCUCCACUCUAGAGAAGCAACCAUCACUAGCAGGGAAUCUCAGGUGUGAGUUCCAUUACCCAGCACCGGUACCUCUGCUCUUCAACUUCAUCAAUCGUGAUUCCCUCAGUGCCUCCUAGCCCCCAUGCCAGAUAGACCUCAGGCCUUCAAACGGAGGUGGUGGGGGGAUUAUUCAAUUAUCUUCGGCCACACAAAAUGAAGUAUGACAGGCUCCCAGUGAGCAUAUCGUAGGCUACAUGUCAAUGUCAAUGAAAGGAUACCAGGCUAUUAAAAGCUUUGGUCCUCAGUUUAGUUUCCUUUUUCCUUGCAGUAAGUGGAACAUAGGGAAUUAAACUGUCCACUAUUAAUGGGAUGUGAUGGCAAGAAGACGGCAAGAAGAAAUGUUGUGGAACAGUAUUGGAACAACAUUUGAGCAAUUCUGGAGAUCUUGUAUGCCUCAGGAGAUGGGAGAACUUUUGUUGAUUCAAGCUCUCCAUUUAGUGCAUUAUAAUCUCUUGUUCACCCCUCUGUCAUCUAUUGAUGCUUGGUUGAUACCUUCACUCCAUAGGGAUGAAGGUUAUGUCGAGGACAGCAAGAUUGAUUAGAGCAGGCUGACAGCAGAAGCCUCUGAGACAGACAUAAUGCUUUCCUUUUCUUCAUAGUUGUUUUCCACAAAUAAAUCACUGCAAUUUAUAGAAUUUCUACCUCAAGAAGUCUGUUCUUUCAAACCACCAAGUCUUACUCAAAUAGUGGCCAAAGAUGUCUGUGUUUCUGUGUAGCCAAUCAUAAAAAAAAUUGAUUGACACAAAACACUGUUAUUUUGCACUGUGGAUAAAUAGUGAAUUAUGCUAUUAGGCCAAGAUGUUAGUCCAAGAAGUGAACUCAUUAGGGAAUUUUUGGGUACUUUCUCUUUGAUCACAGAGACACAGUAUCACUGUGUCAAAUACAAAUUAUGUAACAUUUAACAAUGUGCAUUUAGAUGUAUUUUUUGAGGCUUUGUAUUCUCAUCUCUUCACCUAUUUCUGGUCUGUUUCCAUGGUAGUAUAAAUGAGAAAGACAUAUGAGCAUAAUUUGGACCCGGACUGUGUGUUCACUAAUGGAGCGCUAUGAUGUAAAUGCCACCAGAAUUAAAGAUUCUAUUAGAUCUCA